AUCGUGAAUGGCCAGUAAAGAGUGAGGGGGCGGGCUUAACUGCCUUGUUGUAGAACAGACAUUUGAAGCCCUCGGAUUCAUGGGAAACUAGAGAAGGGGGUUAUGGGAAAGGCGAUGCCAGAGAGGGAGGGUACUAGCUAAUGGAUCGUCAGUUGCUGUUUGCUUGGUGGAGUAGCCUAGGAAGAAAUAUUUAUUUAUCAUGUAACCGCUCAUUACGUGUUCUUUCUGUUGGAACUUUUUUCCUUAUUCCAGAUUACAGUUUCAGGAUGGAAAUUUUGAAAAGCACAGCAAAGUAUAGAGAAUGAAAUAAUUAUCCAAAUGUCAACACUUAAAGAUAAUUACUCAUUUCUUUUAACUUGUCAUUUUGAGAUCUCUACAAUUUCCUUUCUCUCCUUAAUGUGUACUCUCAGAACGCUCUUUUAAAAUGUAGUGUGGAAGAUGUCCAUAAUUAUAGGCGAUUUGGGAAUUUUUACUGUUUGCAUUUGUUUUACAAGUUUUUUGCGUUGAUAAGAUAUACAUUUUCAAAUUAAAAGUAUAUUGUUUUAAUGUAAUAGGUGAUGACCGAAAAGCAGGAGCUGAGACAAAAUUGCACGUGAGCCGCAAUUUUGUCUCUUCUCGUUUCUUCUCCUUUCUGUUGGUUGGCACCAGAUGACAGUUGCUCAAGAAAGAGAACCCCUAGAUGAUGUCCAGAAGUCAAAAGUCGAGGACCGGCAAAGCCAAGCUUUUAAGAGUUGGUCUCUGUGAGACCUCUUGGGUGACAACAUAUCUCCCAUCCCAUAUGCUCUUCCACAGUGUGACUUUGCCACAGGCCCAAGAUGGAGCAGCUCCUGCCCCGGGUGCUCCGUCAGUAAACGGAAACUCAGAUCACUUCAUGUCCCCGUGAAUGCCCCGCUUGACCAGAGACACAGUGUAGCCAAUCAGCCAGGCUCCAAAUGCCAGGCCAACUCUGGGCCUUCUCACCCCCAACAAGGUGACCACAUGGCCCCAGCCAAUCAGAUACUUUCUCUUUUUCUCUGUCUUGUUCUUUAUCCUAUAAAAGCUGCCUGCUUUCUGCCCCACCUUGUAAUUCUCUGAAAGGAGACUAUCCACCCGAUGAAGUGUUAAAUAAAGUUUCUAUGUAUCACCUAAAUUGUCUUCUUUAAUCAUUUUUUAACAUUACUUAAUAGU